ensembl:lncRNA
AAGGGAUGCCAUCCAGAGGGACAUCGAUAAACUCGAAUUGUGGGUCCAUGUAUACCUAAUGAGAUUAAACAAAGUCAAGUGCAAAGCGUUGCACUUGGGUCAGGAUAAUCCCAGAUACGUUUAUAGAUUGGGAGAAGAACUCAUUGAGAGUCCUGUGCACCCACCACAGGAAAGGUGUUGAACUUUUGGAGAGGGUCCAGAGGAGGGACACAAAAAUGGACAGAGAACUGAAGCACCUCUCCUAUGAAGGUAGGCUGAAGGAGCUGGGCUUGUCCAAUCUGGAGAAGAGAAGACUCUAGGGAGGCCUCAUUACAGCCUUCUAAUAUUUAAAGGUAGAUUAUAAAUAGGAGGGAGAUCAACUUUUUACAUGGGUAGACAAUGAUAGGACAAGGGGAAAUGGUUUCAAACUAAGGGAGAGGAGAUUUAGAUUAGAUGUCAGGGGAAGUUUUUCUCUGUGAGAGUGGUGAGGUGCUAGAACAGGUUGCCCAGAGCGGUUGUGGAUGACCCUAUCCUUAGAGGUGUGUAAAGCUAGGUUGAUGGAGCCCUGGGCAACGUAAUUGGGUACCUGAUUUAGAGGUUGGUGAUCAUCUCCUUUGGGAGUUUUCCAGUGAACCUUUAUCCUCGGAAAGGGGUAAGCUAUUUCUUAUUUAUUACGGAAUUGUGACCAAUACUUUUCUUGGGUGAUCUGAAAGCUCGUCAGUGGCAGCUAUAUCCUCUGCCUUAUACAAUACACCAGGUGAAGAGAAGAAAUAGUAAAAUCUAGCAAAAGAAAUUUGCAGAGUAAAGUUGCUAAUUUCAAAUAUGCUUUGGUGAUAGAUGAAAGUACAGAAUCUACAGAUAUGGCUCAACUUGCCGCUUUCAUUAGAGGCAUUGGUAAUGUAUACGUCAUUCAAGAAAUAGCUUAUAUUAACAGCACUUGAAAUGAACCUUACUUAAGGCAAGCUGAAGUUAUGGCAAAUAAUUUAAUGCAUUUUGAUGUGUUGGCUAAGCCCUGUCCAGUGAAUAGGGAAAAAUACACAGCUGUGCUUUUUUUUUAUUUUUUUAUUUUUUAUUUUUUUUUAAUUUUUAUUUGCUAACGGGAUUUGUGAACAAGUUUCAAGAGUUCCAAAAAAGCCAUCAGGUUUUUCGGUAUAUCGCUGAUUGGAAAUGAAGUCACAUAAAUACAUUACCUGUGAAUUUUUAAAUGGAACGUAUGAAGCAGCAAUCGGAUAUUCAUAGAAUCAUAGAUUCAUAGCAUCACCAAGGUUGGAAAAGACCCACAAGAUCACCCGGUCCAACCAUCCACCCAUCACCAAUGGUCCUCACUAAACCAUGUCCCUCAACACAACAUCCAAAAGUUCCUUGAACACCUCCAGGGUCAGUGACUCCACCACCUCUCUGGGCAGCCCAUUCCAGUGUGUGACCACCCUUUCAGAGAAGUAGUAUUUCCUAAUGUCCAGCCUGAACCUUCCCUGGUGCAGCUUGAAGCCAUUCUCUCUAGUCCUAUCACUAAUCACACAAGAGAAGAGGCCGCCCCAGCUCACUACAACCUCCCUUCACGUAGUUAUAGAGAGCAAUAAGGUCUCCCCUGAGCCUCCUCUUCUCCAGACUGAAACUCAAAGAUAAAUUCGUUCAUCAUAUCUCUUUACUGGACUUCUGUAAGCCCUUUGUUAGUACAGAGACAGGCUUCACAAUCCCAUCUUGCUCAGUCAUGGCUUCUUGGCAAUACGUGUGUUUGAGAACAACUGUUUUCAAGGAUGAAGGACAAGAAGAGUACAGCUUCAUCAAAAAUGCCUGCCGAGCACCGUGAGAACUCACAGAGCAUGGCAAUCACUGCCACUGGCCCUGUUGCUGGUACAUCAAUUUCACAAAAACAAGGUCGUAUAUCCCACUCUUUUCAUGUUUUCAUUGCUUUUUUAACGUUUUAAUAAAAAAAUAUC